AGGUCCAGACCGUUCAUAAACAGGGCGCAGUUUCGGGUCAGAUGUGACGUCAGCCCAGGUUGCGUAAAGUCGAUUGGAUCAGAGAAGCAUUUCAUCAUUGAAACCAAGUUAGGAGGGUGACAAAAGUCUGCUGGGGCAUGGCGCCGCACUUGGAAAUGAACAACUUCUCAAUUACAGUAUAAGACACUGAAAAGAGGGUGUGCUAUGUUACAUAAUAUUCUGCAUCAGUGGUGGACAAAGCGAUGAGUCACACGCGUGGUACUUCAAUCUGGAUCAGAUCUGUUUUCCUAAAUUGUUCUCAAACUUUUUACACAAGUAUCACCAUAAUGCUCAGCAAAAUACAGUCCCAAAAUACGAAGGCUGAGGUUUUAGUCCUAAAAAGUGCAUUUACUCUUUAAGUUAAAGAUACUGUAAAAAAAUUAAAUCCCUAAAAAAUACUGUAAUGUACAUAAAAACUUAACUCUUUUUAAACUUAAUCUGCAACUGAGCUUUUAAAAUGUAAAGUCAAAUAUCCAUCCAGCCAUCUAAAUCUACCCGUCCGUCCAUCCAUCCAUCCAUCCAUCCAUCCAUCCAUCCAUCCAUCCAUCCAUCCAUCCAUAGCAUGUAUAAUACUGUGUUGAAUAUAAGGAUAAUGUAAUCUAAUAAUAACUAAACCUCUUCUUUGGUCCUCCUGGAAAUGACUCUUAACCAGUCUCCAAUCAUGCUGAGGAUGGCAGCAAAGUAGGCAAGUCCGACCAGAAUCCAGAACCACACGACCGGUUUGUAGUAGUCCAAGUACUCGAUUUCCGACCCUCCUGUAAGCAGAGGUAGAAGUAUUCACAUAAUCACACGUGAGGCAAGUAACUUUUUUUUUUUCUUAACAGUUUUACCUGCAACAAAGUCCCCGAACCCGAUGGUGGUCAAUGUAAUGACCACAAAGUAGAGCGACUCCAGCGCUGACCAGCCCUCAAUGUGUUGAAAGAUGACUGCCGGGAGCGCCACAAACAGUAAACAGCCAAAGAGCACAAACAGCAACGUAGAUAUGACUCGGAUCUUCGUCUGACUGAUGUUCCAGUGCUGCACGAAACACACAUGAGAUGGUGCCCAACUGGUCGCCCACUCCGGCCAGGAGGAAGCCGAAGAGUGGGAUGCCCAGCAGAGCGUAGACGAUACAGAAGAUUCUC